rnacentral:rRNA from 1 species
CACGUAGGGCGCAAGCGUUUGUCCGGAAUUAUUGGGCGUAAAGAGCUCGUAGGCGGUCUGUUGCGUCUGCUGUGAAAACUCGGGGCUUAACCCCGAGCCUGCAGUGGAUACGGGCAGACUAGAGGUAGGUAGGGGAGAAUGGAAUUCCUGGUGUAGCGGUGAAAUGCGCAGAUAUCAGGAGGAACACCGAUGGCGAAGGCAGCUCGCUGGGACGGUACUGACGCUGAGACGCGAAAGCGUGGGGAGCAAACAGG